rnacentral:lncRNA from 1 species
AGGGCUGCACGCUGUGGCCGCAGAAAGCCUGGGUCAGCAGGGGCCCCGUUGGCCUGGGGCGGGCCCACGCCUGCUAGCCGGGACCCCACAUCAGUGCUGAGCCCACCACUGCGCCCGCUGGCCCGGACGCUGCCCCAUUUCCCUGCACAGAGAAACGAGCCCAUGGACGCUGCCCGGGCUGCUCAUGACGCAGCCGCCCAGCACUCCUUGCCAGGCACACAGCAGCAGGAGGUGACCACGAAGUGCGGCACAGAGAGGAGGCGGCCCCCAGCCUGGGACCUCCAAGGCUGGUUCAAUCCAGGCCACGGGCAGGCUCAAGGCUCGUGGGCUAGACGUGCAGGGAGCUGGCAGGACGAGGCUCUGCACUGGCCUCUGGGUUCCAAAGCCAGCACCAAGCCCCGCCUCUCCUGAGUGGGGUGCGGGCCACGGGAGGUGAGCAUGAAGGCAGCCUACCACGCUGCAGAUGGAAGCACCGUCACCCACAGCAAGGACACUGCGUCUUCGUGACAGUCUGAACCAGAACCGGGCACAGCUGAGUGUUCCCACCCCAGGACACCAGACCCUGUGCACAGCAUCACAAGCUCUCCCGCACCACUGAGUACCUCCCGGGUCACCCGGCACCUGUACCCUGAGGGCGAACGGCAGGGCCCAGGAUGGCCCCUGGUGCAUGCGCUUGGCCUGCCGCCUCCUCUGCAAACCCCCGAAGGAGUGGCCAGAGCAGGGCCUCAGGACACUUACCUGGUCCCACUGCCCUGACACUGCCCCCUUACGGGCCUGCCCUCCAUAAAUGCCACCACUGCCCCCAAGUCCUCCCGUCCAAGCACUCACCAUGGCUGCCCAUGUGAGCGGAGGAGAAGCCGCUGAGCGUGUUGCGGCCGGAUGCAUCCGCGUACCGCGGCAUGGAGCUGACUACGGCCUGCAGAUACUUCUCCUGUUCCAGGCUGCUGGAGUCCGCCUGGGACUGGCCUGGCGGGGAGGCGUAGGUGGGGGCGGGGCCCUGGGGCGGGGCGAGGGGCAGGGCGAGGGUGCCGGGGUGGGGCAGGGUCAUAGCAGGCGCGGGGCGCCUACCUGGAGAAGGCGCAUUCUGGGCCUUGAAGAGACCUACGACACCCUUGCCGUGCAGGCCUCCAGAGCGCAGCAACACAGCCUUGGAGCGCCCGCUGCGCCAGCAGACCACCGGAAAGCGGUUCUGGCGGUAGCAGCGGGAGACGCGCUGCAGAGCGUUGUCCUGGACGCUCUGGGGCACGAUCAACAGCCCGGGGUAGCUGCGAGGAGGCGGCGGCGGCGGGUGAGGGCGGCGGCAGCCACUGUGGACCCGCAGCCAGCGCCCCGGGGCCGCGCCAGGGCUCACCUGCGGCAGAUGGCGUACAUGCGGUUCACUGGGGAGAUCCGGAAGGGCUCAGACUUGGCUCGGCUCAGGCUACUGNNNNNNNNNNNNNNNNNNNNNNNNNNNNNNNNNNNNNNNNNNNNNNNNUCCACCAGGCUGCUCAUGGUCAUGCGGUCCGAAGGCUUCAGGGCUGACGACGGCGUCAGCGUGCUGGGCUCCAGCUCCUCCGAAACUGGGGCAGACCAGGCACACGUGGCUCGUCACUCACAGACCUCCCAGGUUCCGGGACAGGGUCCUGGGGGCGGGAGAGCCCGGCCACCACGAUGA